rnacentral:lncRNA from 1 species
ACUAUUGUCAUCACCACCAACAUGGCCAUCAUCUCUGGGUAGUGCCAGCAAGACACUUCUUGGGAACUAGGACAUGAGUUACCUCUAGCAACCUCUCAUGUGAAACUGUGUUAAGAGGGCUGUGGUUGGUCAAUCCCCUCUUAUUAUCAGUGGGCAUGGCUGACCUCACUUUCUUCCAGUCAAAGCUCAGAUGUAUCCAGGGAUCAGCAGAACCUUUCCCAGUUUGGGAGAGAAGAUUCUUCAAUUUGGAGAUGCCCAGGGCUUCAAGCUACUCUGCCUUUGCCAGAUGUUGCCCACUUGUUCUGGCUUGCAAGGUCAAACCAACUGAGAAACUCUCCUCGAGCGACCUCUCUCCACUCCUCAACUUCAUUCUAUUAAGAAGCCUGGGCAUGUGACGGGGAGCCCCAGAUGACCCUGUACUGUGGGCAGCUGUCCAGGCCUCUGAAAUGGCCCAGUGGUCAUCGCGGUACAGGACAGCCACAGAGAGCUGUGAAGAUGGAAGGGAAGAUGGGAAAACUCAACCAAAGGGCCCAUGUGAUUGAAGAGAAUUUCCAAGAAACAGUCAAAGCAGUUGUGUAACAAAGUAAAGAUGAGACACUCAUUGCGGAAAGAGAGAAAGAUUCUCCAGUAUUUACGGCGAGGCUGCAAUGGUUUAGACCACGUGGACCUGGCACGGACGGGAUGAUCCCUGGGGCAGAACGAAGUGGAAGCCUCGGAAAUACACAGACACCACAUGCCCUUAUCUCUUCCCCAGUCACAGCUGGCUUCUUCCAGAGCCCCACUGUGGAAUUCUUCUCUUCUUCAUCUCAAAAUAUUAAGUGUCUCCCAAGUGUCAAAUGCCUGGAUAUCUUUCGUUCGUUAUCUAUGACUACUCCCUGGGCCUCAUAGCUCCCUCUGAUUCAGUCCAUUUCCCCAGUAUGCCUCUCACCCUUCCAUUCCUGCUACUCCCUGCCAUCCCACUCCUGGUCCUGUUUCUCUGGGGCUAUAAAACAUAUGCGGCACACCCCUGUUCUCCACUCCAGACCCCUCCCACAGCCCC